UACAGAGGGGGCAAGCGUUGUUCGGAAUUACUGGGCGUAAAGGGCUUGUAGGUGGCCAACUAAGUCAGACGUGAAAUCCCUCGGCUUAACCGGGGAACUGCGUCUGAUACUGGAUGGCUGGAGUGUGGGAGAGGGAUGCGGAAUUCCAGGUGUAGCGGUGAAAUGCGUAGAUAUCUGGAGGAACACCGGUGGCGAAGGCGGCAUCCUGGACCAUUACUGACAUUGAAAAGCGAAAGCCAGGGGAGCAAACGGG
rnacentral:rRNA from 1 species